GUCGCGAGUGGAUCCCGGGCCGGCGCAACGCCCGCGCAGUAGGCGGAGCAGACGCCGUGGUGUCAGAUGGAGUCCCAAGUGUACUAUUUGAGGCCCUGGAGGUAUCGCAGUGACCAAGGCAGAGCACGUGCCGGCUUUCAAGGAGCAUUCAUUCUAGUGGGGAGACAGACGCCAGACAAAAAGAACACACCAACACAUGUCCCUGGCCACCCGGCUCGUCCCACUGGGUAGAGGAGUGUGUCGGCCAGGCCAGGCUGCGGACAGGGACUCAGGCCCAUGAGGAUGAGGAAACUGAGGCUCACGACCUGUCCAAGGUCACCAAGAUGGAGCCUGGAGGACAAGGGGGAAGAUGGAGGGCCCUGGCCUCCUGAUGCCCACUGCCUUUGAUCAGCCCGUGGUCCCUUCUCUACCCCAGGGCACUCCUCCUCGAGGGGUGGGGUCGCCAGACUUCACCAGCCUCCGGGGCCAAGAUGACUCUGAGUAGAGCUCACCCCACUCUCCGAGGAAGCUCUUGGCUCCAAGAAAUGCAGACCAUGCCUGGGUUUGCUGCCCUUCCCAGGCCGUUGCCGCCCUGCUUCCAAGGCCUGGUGGCCCCCGGGGCUGCCGCUCCUAGUGGAAUGUCCUGGUCAAGAGGCCCUGCUGGCUGCUCCAAUGACUUAAGAACCAUAUAUGAGUCCUGGCUCUAACCUUAAGCAAGUCAUUCCACCUCUCUAGGCCUCAGUUUUUCCAGCUGUAAAAUAAGGAUGAUAGUAUCUAUUUAACUCCUGGAUUGUUAUCAUGACUCAAUAAAGAUAAUAGGAAAAUACGUAACCC
rnacentral:lncRNA from 1 species